rnacentral:lncRNA from 1 species
CAGUGUCUUGAAGUGUAAAGCAGUGAACAGAAAGCUUCUGACAUCUACAAGCCAACUGAUAGCAGGCGUGAAAGCUGCUCUCUGGACCUCUGUGCUGUUCAAGGGAUGAUUUGAGCAUUGGAGUAAUCUUGAAAUUUAUGGAACGCAUUCUUAUGUCCCCUCUCUGAGAAUCCUGGGGUCAGAUGCUGCAGAGGAAAGUACC